rnacentral:rRNA from 1 species
CCUACGGGAGGCAGCAGUAGGGAAUCUUCCACAAUGGGCGAAAGCCUGAUGGAGCAACGCCGCGUGGGGGAAGAAGGUCUUCGGAUCGUAAAACCCUGUUGUUAGAGAAGAAAGUGCGUGAGAGUAACUGUUCACGUGUCGACGGUAUCUAACCAGAAAGCCACGGCUAACUACGUGCCAGCAGCCGCGGUAAUACGUAGGUGGCAAGCGUUAUCCGGAUUUAUUGGGCGUAAAGGGAACGCAGGCGGUCUUUUAAGUCUGAGGUGAAAGCCUUCGGCUUAACCGGAGUAGUGCAUUGGAAACUGGGAGACUUGAGUGCAGGAGAGGCGAGUGGAACUCCAUGUGUAGCGGUGAAAUGCGUAGAUAUAUGGAAGAACACCAGUGGCGAAGGCGGCUCUCUGGUCUGUAACUGACGCUGAGGUUCGAAAGCGUGGGUAGCAAACAGGAUUAGAUACCCUUGUAGUC